AUUUUGUGCAUUUGCCAAGUUAGGAAUCUGUAAACUAGACCUUGGGAUGAAAAAAAAGAUGAUACAAACUUUUGCUUUGAGUAUGGACGAUCUGAACCUUUGUACAGACUCAGAGGAAUGUGGUUAUUAACAACAAAUACCCUCUCAAUUUUUCCUCUUCUCCAAAGUAACUGGUCCAUACAUGAGCUCAGUUUUUGUGGUAACCCUUAGGGUGAGUGCAAACAUCAGAGCUCUCAUGAAAAGCAUUCGAUAUACUUUAUGGUCAGAGAGGGGGAAGAGAAGUAAGCCUGGAGCGCCUGCAGACCUGCAAUACCUAGGAAAGUGUUCCCAGUUCCCUCUAGACCUGUAGGCAGACUGGGUUUCUCCAAGCUCUUCAAAACUUGUCUGUGAAGGAUUACUUCCCAGAAUAUGUCCUCAAGAAGCUGCCUGGCCAGGCUGGGAUGAAGGUGGCAGUGGAGCAGGAGUGAUCCCCUUUGGAUUUCCCCAGAUUAGACCGCGGAGUGUACAGACAGGAAGCUGAAGUAUUGAGCGCCUGACCAGAGCUUCCUCCUGUGCAAGAGUGGGGGUUUCUCCAACUUGAAUCUUUAGCUCUACAAGCACAGUCCGAGUCUUGAAGUCCAAGGGAUAAAGAGCACCCAAAUCUUUCAGCUGGGUCCUCCGAGCGUGGAGAAUGGAGUACUGCACUUAAGCCCUGCUUGCAAGGUCAGCAAAACAGUUCUCACCUCUCCCUGCUGCUGCUUACCUUCCUGGCUCCUUAUCAAGCAGGGAAUCAGAAAGGGACUUUCCAGAGCUAUAAACAUGUGAGCUGAAGAGAUGGAAUGAACCCUUAUGCAAAUGAGUCUUGAUUCCCUUCCCUUUAUAAAGAUAAAAAGUUUUUGAGAGAGCAACGGCUCCUCCAGAAUGUGGGUGUCCGGAGUUAUUGCCUCGGACUGGCUGGAUCUCUCUGUGCUAUCUGUCUGUCUGUCCGCCUUUCUUUCUGCUUGUCUGUCUUUCCAUUGUAGAGAACAAAGCGGAGUGAUGUAAAAUAGAAAAUGAGACAAGCAAACCUUUGGUGAUUGAAGAGGAGGAAGGAAAAUGAAAGAGAAAAAGCUGAAGAGUGGGAAAAAGAUAAAAUAAAAUGAAUUUUGGGGAUUCCACUGUGAGUAAGAGCUGAAAAAAAAGUAAGCUGAUUUAUUACAUGUUUAUCUUCUGCCUGCGAGUCAGUGUGCCUUGUAUAUGCGAGGGGUGAACUGCACAUUAAAGAUUGAAUCAAAAAGCCAAAUUCUUCCUCAAUUCCUCCAGCUUUAAACGAGCAUAAUUCUGACAGCUCCGAUGGAUUUACAUUUUGUAAACAGCAGCGGAAUCAAGAUCAAGUCCUUUAAGUCAUUUUGAGUCAUAUUUAUGCUGAAGUUAUGAGAAAUUUAGAAUGACUUUUAAAUAACGUUUGUCAGGGAAGCUGCACAUUUUCUAACGCUUCUCUUCACUGGGCAGGAAUUUUGCUAUGGUCAUUGCAGUGUUGUUAUGACUUUAUUCUGAAUCCAAUGGCAGUACAGAAAGAAGGGGUGAUGUUAUCGUUAUGUGCAUCCAUAUUUUCCUUGCAUUAUGACUUAUGUAUAUUCAUUUUUAUUUUAAAUGUGUAUUUUAACAACCGUUUAAACAGGGAGAUGGCAUGAGCUAGUUGAUGUAAGUAUUUUUUUUUCUCUCCAUCAAAUGCCACUGAUUUUGAAAAUGCAGUGUUUGACUGCAGCCGGAGGGUUUAGCUGGCUACACCUUGCUUUCUUUCACAUUAAUCCUUUACUCUUUUGCAGGUUUAUUUCUUCCUUUGCGUGCUCUGAGCUUAUCUGGGCAUCCAAAAGUUUGUUUUAUAGUAUGGAAGAAGAGGGACAGAGGAAGCACCGCAGGUUUUCUUGAUGAAAUUUCCAAGCUUUUGCAGGUGUGGAGACGGGCUUCUGGAGCCUGCAGAAUAAGGCAGCUCCCAUCCCUCUCUUUCUCCACCUAAUCAGACAGUUUCUCUUACUCUUCCUUUUUCUGAACAGUUUGUUCGCUAAAAAAUGCUGUUUCGAAUGAACUGAAAUUAUUGACAGAGCUGAAUGGAGUGGUGCAAAUAGUACUGGGUAAACCAUCAAAAAAAUAUUUUGACAUUUGUAGAAUUAAAUCCUAAUUCUUUCUUUGAAAGUGCUUUUUUUUCAUUUUCAUGUUCUUCUUAUCGUUUUUAUGCAGCAAUAAUGACAGCAAAGAAGAAACGAAGUAUUUUGUUUUAGGCCAAGAAAUACGUUCUAGUGCAGCUCAAAUUAUUUGCUUAUUUAUUUAUUGUUCAGAAAAGAACAAAAGUCACUCCAGGUUCCACCAAAUGGCAUUUUCCUUUUCCUUUCUUUCUUCUUUUUUUUUUUUUGAUUAGUAGAGGAAAACAUGGCUAAUUGCCACAGCCAAAAGUCCAUACCAUUGUCAGGACCAGCUGUAUUUCAGCUAUGUUAAUCUGGCAGAAUACUGAGCAUUCAUUUUCUGUGGGAAAUGAUGAUUAAAAAAGGGAAUUAUUUUUGAUAAGAAAAACGUACCCUUUUCUGUGCUUUUAUUGGUCAGAUUAAAUAUAUAAUCCACCUUUUCCCAUAAUCAGGGAAAGAAAAAAAAAAAAAAAAGGAGGAGAAAAGUCAGCUUUCAUUAUUGAAAUAGAUUUUCUGGAAGAUUUUUGACCCAAUUCCCUAACAUGAAAGGCUGCAGCUACUCUCUCCUGCAGUGUUUCAGAUGCCUGUGCUCCAUCGCAGCUUCCAUUGGGGCUGAGCGCUUCCCUUGGGCAGCAGAGCCUGGAGCUCCUGGAGCCAUGGGAUGAGGCUGCGGUGGGGACUCUUUGGCAGGACAGAGGUUUCAAGUGUGUCAGUGACUGCCUGUGGUCUUUGUGGGGGGAUUCAGUAAGGAAAAGUAUGGAAAACAGAGAGCUGCAGAAAACUAUUUCAAAGCUUGGAUUCUGUAGUGCAUGCUGGAUAGCCAAGUCCUCACCGGCAACUUGAGCAAUGUCAUGUCAAAAGUCUGUGUAGAAAUCAAAGAAUGUCUUUACUUUUCACUGUAAUCAUUUGUAGCAGUUAAUACAUUUGAUUAAAUGUUCGAGAGUUGGUCAUGUUGAAUCUGAAUGGCACCUAGAACUAUUUUCUUUAAAAUCAGCCCCGGUGAGCUCAAGGGGAGCCAGAUUUAACAUCGUGGUGAGCGUAUCCUGGUGGAAGGCAGGCUGGCUCCCCGCAGGCUGUCUGCAUCAGCGCUUCUCAGCCUUCUCUAAUGGGGCCUUCUUGGAAAAGCCGUGGCUGGACCAUUUCCCACGCACAACAAGGAGCCGUCUGCACCUGCAGGCGCUCACUGGCAGCAUCCAGAGAGCGGCUCCCGGCUCCGUCUGCCAGCACUGGUGCUUCUCUGCCAAAUGGAGCAGACAUGUGGUUUGUAUCUUCUAAAUGAGCUCGUGCAUAGAGCAGGUUCUGGCGUCCGACAGCAAACAGUGGGCUGCAGCCCACGGGCUGUGUAACACCCAUCCAGCUCCCGGCGCUGUCACGCCUGCACCUGGUCAUGAGCCAGAGCUCUCGGGCUGUUGCAUUCGCUGCUGUGUGCCGGUCUCUGCAUAACUACGGCCAGUUUGCACUGCACUUGAGCUGUUUCAUUAUUCUAAUUUUAAUUGUAGUUGAUUUCAGUGAAUUAAUGUUGAAAUGGGCUAUCUAUGAACUGAAAGUGUGCUUGCUCUUCACAGCUUAUUUUCAGUAGCUGCAGUAUUGUUAGAGUAUAAAUACAGCCAUCUCUUCUGGAAUCGUAGGAUCACUGGAGUUUGAAGGGAUGUUUAAAGGUCUUUGAUUCCAAUUCCCCUUUCCAGAUUUCAACUCCAGCUUUUAUAUUUCAAGUAUUUAGAUACUGAACCUGUCUGAAGAAAAAAUAUCUCCGGCUUCUAAUGGAUUUCUAACAUUACAAUUGUUUAUUAUAAUAAAUAAUUGAAUAAUAAUAGCCUAAUAUAAAAAAGAAUGAAAUCCUUGCUGAGUGAUCAUGGCAUUCCUUUUUUAAAUAAUGCAAUAAUUACAAAAACAUUUUAGUUAAUUAAAACUUUAAGUUAAUGUUUGCCUGUUUUUCAACUAUUUAUGCAGAGCCUAAUCAUUUUGGGUUAGUGAUACAGAGCACAGCAGCUGCACAGGGACAAAGACUUGUAAGUACCUGUGCCAUUGCCACAGAUGGAACAAUGCCAGUUCUUUUGAGUUCUUAAAAAUGUGGAAAUUGAAAGGGAGCAAGGAAUGGCCAUCUACUCUCUCCUGUUUGCUUUACCCACCUCUCCCUAUGUUGCUGGUUGUUUAGAUUGUAUCUGACAUGUAUGGCCGGACCAGACUUUUCUGGUGCUUGGUUCCACUAUGUGCAUCAGGAACUGGUUUGGGUGAGCAGUCCAUAGUGCCACGUGUUGGGACGCAGCACGUGCCUUGCACCCAGCAUCUGCAGCACAUGCCUGGUUGGAUAUCUGAGCCAAGGGAGGAAGCGCUGCUGGAUCUGGGACCGGCUCCAUACACGAGGUAGGCCUUUUCCUGACACGGCUAGUCACUGACAUGAAACGUUUUGCCGCUAGGAUGUAAAAUGUAUCAGUGAAAUGAUAAGGAAUAAAUAGGGUUGGAGUUUCACAGCUUUGCAAGGGCUUUUAACUUCUCAGCUCUCAUUACCCUCAUUAGCACAAUGAGAAUGGGCUUCCUGGCUGUCCCCACUGCUCCUUGCAACAUCUGGGCACUGUCAAGGCAGUUGUUACUACAUUUGUGUCCGUGUGUGCAAGAUGCAUGCUUUAUACUGUUUACAUUCCCUGCGCUGUGUUCCCUUCUGUCAUCUGAGAGUGCAUAGGAAGAAAUACGGAGUGCAUGCAUGUCUGCAUUUUUCAGUACAAAAACGUGCUGGAGUCGUGUUUGGAGAGCUGUGACCUAUUGUGGCUUCUUUUAAGUGUAACUGAAACUGUGCUGUAGUAUAACCGUACUCUAACUAUGCGCUAUAGAGAUUACUAAAAGUACUUGCUUUAGGAGGCUUUUAUAAUUAUUACCGAUGGCAAGAAGGUUUUAAAGCUCUGAAACAGGUUUUUCAUGCUAUGAUUUUCCAUAUGAUUGUUUUAAACGCCUACGGUGUUCAUGCAUGCAGCUGAGGUGUAAUAUGUUUCAGAUAUCAAUUGAUACAUUUUGCCACGUACUUUUUCUUUAAAUUAAAUUAGCAGCGCAAUGCAAAAACUGUCAGUUUUAGGUCAAGAAAUGAAAUGGAAUAUGCAAUGAUUUUGAUCUUUCGCAAAGGAAAAUGGUCUGUUGCACAAAGUAAUGUGUUGUUGGAAAAUGUGAUUAAAAUGGAGACAACAGAACUGAACCUCCAGAUAAGCAGAGUGGAAUAAUUCUACAGGGGAGGAAAUUGCAUGUUUGUUAUUCGUGACAUGGGCAUUGGCAGCAGAAACACAGCUACCGCCUGAAAUUAGAAAUGCAUCCAGAAAGUAACUGGGAGUUUCAGAAAGCAGUUUGGGAACAAACGCAGCUGCUUCUGCCAAGAGCAAAACAUGAAGGGGGGGCGUGGGGGGGGGACACUAAUACCGAUUCAUCACAAGAUGUGAGAUUGUUUGUUUCAAAGACAAGUUUAAAAAAAUAGGAUUUAUUUUUUUUAAAGCUCUUUUUUUGUUCAGUGGGGGGAGGACUACAAAAGUCAACGCGUUCUUCCUGGGCUGAAGGCAUCGCUGGCUUGAUGCAUUUGAAGGGUUCAGGAGGAGGAAUCCUUGCGGGCAGUUCCUUGUUUGACACUGGGAGCCCAGGGAGCGAUGCUGGAGCAGGGCGUGCUUAGCGCCCAGGUGUCUGUCUGAUGGAACUGGUAGAGCAGAGUGCAGUUCAAGUGCAAAGCUUUUUCUUUGUGAUUGCACUGGAGGUUUGCUGUUGGAUUUUGCAGUGCUGAAUACGAUUUUUACAAAACUAGGGAAGAGUUGCAGCUUCUCUGCGUGUAAGCACAGAAAUGUUUGUCUGCAAACAUGGAUAUUUGCUUUACCAAAACGGAUUAACAAAAAAUGACAGUGUGCUAAGAUACAGGCAGUGUUUGCCUUGUGUCCAAGCACUGCGUCAGGACCUCCUUGCUGAUCCUUACAUUUAUACGCAGAGCAGCUCUGUGUUGGCGUAUGUGAUGGGAGCAGAGCUGCUCAGCAUCGCAAGGGCCCAGCUGCUGUGCUGCCCGUCCUGCUGCCUCAGUGCCUCCUUCUUCUGCUCUGCCCUCUUGCUUCAUCCAGCCAGAUGGCAGCGUAGCUGUGGGAUAUGUGUUUUCCCACCAGCUAUGGGGGGAAAAUGUAUUUAACUCAAUAAGGGUGAGGAAGAUGCAUUAUGCUCUUAAUGAAAUGUGACCAUAUUCAUAUUUUUAUUUCAAGUUCCCCACCAGUGUUAAUUAAUUAUCACGCACGAUGAGCUCAUUUAAAACGUAUCUGGAUUCACACGGAGCUGCAGUACAUCAUUGACUGGUUAAGAAGCAUUAAAAUCUCACUCUUUGGUGUAUGUGCAGACAAAUGUAGAUGUUGUAUUAGCAAGAAAGGUACUAACGGCAACAUGGAGAAUAAAAAUAGGGGAUGGUAAGGAAAACGCCGAAGUUUUACACAAUCCAUUAACUUGAUAGCUUUAGGAUCAUUAUGUUCAUUUCCUUUUGAAACAUAUUUAAUUCAAAAGGAAACUUAUGGAAGAAUAGUCUUCAGGCACUUAACAUUACUUAAUCACUCUAAAAAGAUUCGCCUUUUGGUGUAGCAGUAAAACUUUAUAUGAUGAUUGCCUAUUAAGUGCCUGUCCUAUAGGGAUAGUUAUUUCUAGUGCAAUAAGACCUCCAAGCUGUGAGGUACUAAGUGACCCUGAUGGAAUAGGAAAAAAUAAUGUUGCUUCAAUAAGUGGACUUACGGUCUGUUGAGAGGCUCACCUCCUUACUGCUCUUGCAGUGGUAGAACAAUGUAAUUCUAUGGGCUUUCUUCUUGUUUGCAAGUGCAUGAAUUUAAUUCUUGAGCAAAUGAGUUCUCAGAGGCUGGGGGACACUCCACGAAUGACACCCAUAUGACAGAGGAUGCCAUGUGUGAAGUUGAUAUUGGGUCAAAGCAGAAUGUGUCUGACACUGGCAAUGUGUGUUUUUAAGGUGAAAGAGAACGAAUGGGCUGUGACGACACUAAAUGCAGCAGGCAAACUGAGAGAGAGUUUGACCUUCUCUCCUAUGUAGUUAAAAAAACCUCUAAAGUCAACUUACCUUGAACAUGACUGGGAUUAUGAAGCUAUGCACCCAUCCAUACUGGCAGUUUAGGAAUUUAAGUUAGACAGUGGCUGUGCUGGUGGAGAACCCAGAUGGGAUGUCCUUUGGGCAGAACAGUGGGACAGGUCAGCUUGCUUGCAGCUACCUCAGAUCCAUUUACUGAGCACUGAGGAGGGGGUUGUGAUGUUCUUCCUUGUCUUUAGAGUGUCUGAUUGGUUAGAGGAAUGCAAACGAGCGUCCAAAUCAGAUGUCCCCCUGCUCUGGGUGCCUCCAGGGCACACCUAUCGACUCUGUGCUCUGAAUGCGGGGCCUGGAGUCUGUUGCAGAGGCACUUCCAUGCUUUAUUCUUUUUGGCUCUUUCUCUAUUUUACCAUAUCGUGUUUUCAUUGAUCACUGUUCAAUUUUUUUCAUAUUUUAGACUUGGAGAGUCACUGCCACAGCAGGGCUGGGCUGCAGACAGAUAUCUUACUUUACAUCAGCAAAGAUCUCCUUGCACCUGGAGGAAAGCCAAGCACCGGGGAGAGAGAGCAGAGGAUGAGAUACUGCUGCACAUCAGAACGGCCUUGAAACGAAUGUCGUGUAUCCUCAGCUUUGAGAACUGAAUUCCAUGGGUUGUAAUUGAAUCCUUU
ensembl:lncRNA